rnacentral:rRNA from 1 species
AUGGCGCUCGCCACCAACACCGCCGCCGCGGCCGCCGCGCUGACCGGCGGCGCGGCCCAGCCCCGCCGCGCGGGGUUCCUCCCCCUCAAGCGCCGCACCAUCUCCGCGGUGCACGCCGCCGACCCCGCCCGGAGCGGCGGCGCGUCCGUCCCGGCGGCCGCGGCGGCCAAGACCUCGUCCCCGACCGUGGCGCCGGAGGCCGCGGCCGUGACCCGGCCCGCGAGCUGGUCCGUCGACAGCUGGAGGAAGAAGAAGGCGCUGCAGCUGCCCGAGUACCCCAACAAGGAGGAGCUCGACGCGGUGCUCAAGACGAUCGAGACCUUCCCGCCCAUCGUGUUCGCCGGCGAGGCGCGCCACCUCGAGGACCGCCUCGCCGAGGCCGCCAUGGGCCGCGCCUUCGUCCUCCAGGGCGGCGACUGCGCCGAGAGCUUCAAGGAGUUCAACGCCAACAACAUCCGUGACACCUUCCGUGUGCUGCUCCAGAUGGGCGCCGUCCUCAUGUUCGGCGGCCAGGUCCCCGUCGUCAAGGUGGGACGGAUGGCUGGCCAGUUCGCCAAGCCCAGGUCUGACAACUUCGAAGAGAAGGACGGCGUCAAGCUGCCGAGUUACAGGGGCGAUAACGUCAACGGCGACGCCUUCGACCUCAAGAGCCGCACGCCUGACCCCGACAGGAUGAUCAGGGCCUACGCCCAGUCGGUGGCGACGCUGAACUUGCUCCGCGCGUUCGCGACCGGAGGCUACGCAGCUAUGCAGCGCGUCAUCCAGUGGAACCUGGAUUUCAUGGAUCACAACGAGCAGGGAGACAGGUACCGUGAGUUGGCACAUAGGGUGGAUGAGGCUCUUGGCUUCAUGACUGCAGCUGGGCUGGGAAUGGACCAUCCGAUAAUGACGACUACUGACUUCUGGACAUCCCACGAGUGUCUCCUCUUGCCAUAUGAGCAGGCUCUUACCCGUGAGGACUCCACAAGUGGCCUUUUCUACGACUGCUCGGCCCAUAUGGUGUGGGUUGGUGAGCGCACUCGUCAACUCGAUGGGGCUCAUGUUGAAUUCCUCCGUGGUAUUGCCAACCCUCUUGGCAUUAAGGUGAGUGACAAGAUGAACCCUGCUGAACUGGUGAAGCUGAUUGACAUUUUGAACCCUUCAAACAAGCCGGGAAGGAUCACCAUAAUUACAAGAAUGGGGGCUGAGAACAUGAGGGUGAAGUUGCCUCAUCUCAUCCGUGCUGUCCGCAAUUCUGGACAGAUUGUCACAUGGAUUACCGACCCCAUGCACGGAAACACCAUCAAGGCCCCAUGUGGUCUGAAGACUCGUCCAUUUGACUCUAUUAUGAAUGAGGUGCGUGCAUUCUUCGACGUGCACGACCAAGAAGGCAGCCACCCAGGAGGUAUCCACCUUGAAAUGACUGGACAGAAUGUCACUGAGUGCAUUGGUGGAUCGCGGACUGUGACCUUCGAUGACCUGGGUGACCGCUACCACACCCACUGCGACCCAAGGCUGAACGCGUCGCAGUCUCUGGAGCUCGCUUUCAUCAUCGCCGAGAGACUCAGGAAGAGGCGGAUGAAGUCAGGACUCACCAACAACCUGCCACUGCCCCCAUUGGCUUUCUAA